ACACUAGACUGAACACAUCGGUGCAUGGCCCCAUUCCAGGCUACUCAGAAAUGCAAGACAGUUCCACUCUCAAUGACAGCAUCAUCCUAUAGCCAGAGUUCACAAAGCAAGGAUGAGGCAAACACUAAUCUGAAAUUCCUCACUCAGGACGUACAUGGGACAUUGGAUAUCAUACAGACAAAUACAAAGCCACAUUCCUCAAAGUUACCUCCAGCCUUGUGUGAAGGAUAGUUGCGCUGUAUGAGAAGUACAUCAGAAACUGUUCUGGAGUCACUAUUCAACCAAGACACCAAGUUAUGCCACCCAUAGACUGGCAGAUGAUAGCAAAAGGGAAGGAAGGAGGCAAGCUUCAGACCCAAGAGGCAGCUGUUAUGCCACCGUACCCAGAAGCACAGGAAGCCCAUGCAACCCUUCAGCAACUUUGUGAUCUGCUGUGGCACCAUCCUGCAGAACAAGGAGAUUAUUGCACCAGAAACAACUACCGGGCCUCCCAUUUAGCAGCCAACAAUUUGCUCCUGGAUCUUUCAAGUAAUGGUCACUUAUACAAAGUCUUUUUAUAAGGGCGUGAGUACAUACAUGCACACGUCCAGCCCACGUAUCAGGAAGCCAGACAGAAGGACUUGUUGGACAAAAAUUCCUGCUGAGCUGGGAGACAGAGUCCUGAGCCACAGCCUGACAGUAAUUCCCAGGGAUGUCUCAUGUCAGGGUUUAUCCAAACAACUAUGUGAGGAUCAGGCCCAAGCCACAAUAACAGUUACCUUGAAGCCUAUGACAUGAACUCAUUUAACUGGUCCCAGGCUGUACUUCAUGGUCUAGAUGAAUUUCUAUAUCUUGCAAAAUAUGAUACCCUCAAAUAUGUUUUUGGAAAUGAGUAUCUUCCAAGUUCAGCUGCUUGCUUGCAUCUGUAGCUACUGGAACUUAACCCACUCAUACAAAACAUCCAGACCAUGAGCUGGCACAGUUAGUAAUAUUUAACAUCAUUCUUCUGACAAACUUCUGGAUGCUCAUUUCAAAGCUGCAAUGCCUUCUUCUUUGUAAAAAUCUGAUAAGAAACAGCAGUCUCAGAAUGACUGAAUAUCUGAGAACAUCUCGUGUCAUUUCAGAAAAUGCAGGUAAGCAGAACACUGUCACAGGGACACAGAGACAGGACAGAGCAUUUCCCAGUGAGCACUUGGUAGAGUGAAAGUUCCCACACAUGGGAGAGUUAGGGUGGAAGAGCGUUGCACCUUUGGCACUGUCACACUGUGGCAUUGCACAGGGUCAGGAGUUUGUCAUGGGGCACGUUCAGAGCUUUUUUUAUUGUUCAUAAGCAACAGUCCUGUCAUGCCAAUAACAGAAGUCCCCCUUGAUUUAAUGAAAUCUACAUUAAGGUACAGUAUCACAAUUUAGCUCUUGCCUUUAACCCCACUGCAGCACAAAGUGUAUUACAAAUCUGCUACAGGAAUCACUUCAUCCAACAUAGAUAUGCAGAAGUCUCAAGGGUGGAAAGUGGCAGCUGUUCAACACAUUCACUCAUAGAAAUGUUACUCACCAUCAGUAUUUGUUUUGCUAUUGUUACACAGUUAUGUUAGCAGUGAAAAAGUCUGAAAUAUUUGUUUGCUUUUCAGAAACUAUCCCAUAAUGGCAUUUUUUCCUGCACAUAAUGCUUUCUGAACUGCA